UACGUAGGGGGCAAGCGUUGUCCGGAAUUAUUGGGCGUAAAGCGCGUGUAGGCGGUCCGGUAAGUCGGCUGUGAAAGUCCAGGGCUCAACCCUGGGAUGCCGGUCGGUACUGCCGGACUAGAGUUCGGAAGAGGCGAGUGGAAUUCCUGGUGUAGCGGUGAAAUGCGCAGAUAUCAGGAAGAACACCCGUGGCGAAGGCGGCUCUCUGGGACGGUACUGACGCUGAGACGCGAAAGCGUGGGGAGCGAACAGG
rnacentral:rRNA from 1 species